CUGGCUGUUUAUUCCUCACACGUGCCCACUCCGCACAGGGUCCACCUGGUCUCCGAGAGAUGGAAUGGGCUCCAGAUGCUCCUCACUCAGGUGGUCCAAAGCACAGUUUCUCUUUGCGUUUGAGACGCACACCUGUCUGACCUUCCGGAGGAGACGACUUCAAUCUUCAGUGGAAACACAGACCCUCGUUUCAAAAGGCCCUAUCCUUACCAAGGUCAUGGCGAACCUGCUCUACCACUCAGAUAAGACCCGUAUUUAACAAUGACCCCUUAUUUUACGGCAGGCAAAGUGUCCGAGUGUCUCCAAGGCAGCCGAGUCUCCAGGUUCGAAAACAACUGGUUGAAGAUAAACUAUUUUUCUCACCUGGCCUGAUCAUUUACUGCAAAGUUACCAUGUGAUUAGUGCAAACACCAGUGUGUGUGUGUGUGUCUGUGUGUAUUAGGAACCAGUUUCCUGUCAAUAUGGAGUCAGUGAAGAAAUAAAACCUGAAGAGUCGUUGAGAAGGAUGGAGCCCAGACUCACAGAUAGAUGUUUUUCCAGCAAUAAAAGUGAACAUGUCACCUGUCUGUCUGUGUGUGUGUGUGUGCGUGCGUCUGUGUACACCUAUUCAUAGAGAAGCAGGGUUGGACACUGUAACUUGACAUGAACGUGAAGCAAAGGGACCGACUGGAAUCAGUGCUCAACUGGGCCUUUCUCCUCGUUUUGUCGGUUUCCCGAGCGCCUUGACCCGGAAGGCCGUCGUUCGCCCGAAAGGCUCUGCUGCAUCUCGGCAUCGGGUUCGAGGGUGGCAGGGACAACAAGGACGCCAGGUUCGGCUAAACACCUCUCCAUGCUGGAAGCAGAAGUGCGUGUCAAUGCAGCACACACUCGUCGAGCUCUGCGUUACUCGACUAUUCUCGAGCCGAUAUCAAUCCCACACCAGCGGAGCUGCUGGACGACGAUCAGGCCAUUCCCACGAAGACACGCGGACAUCGAGAACAAGAGGGACAGGAGCCAGGAGGCCACUCUUCUCUCCUGUUUCCCCAGGGUGACGCACAUCGCUCGGAGGAAGGUCAGGCAGCAGAAGAAGAAGAGUGUGACGUGAUGAACCUGCUGUUGGCACCAGGUGGAAACGCUGCUGCAGGUUCUGCUCAGCACUUGGGCCACAUGGUGACUGACGUGACGAGUGACGGAAACGGGGAAGAAAGAAGAAAAGAUAAAGAAUAACUUUUGUUCUCUUCCACGGGAAACGGCCGCGCAGGAGAUCAGAGUCUCGUGCCUCAGCUCAGCAGCCUGCGCCGCACUCACAGCUGACCGUGUGCCGGAGACGAGUUUCCAUCCGCCGGUUGCGCGGCAGCCACGAGACGGCUCCCGGGACGUUUACCGCGUUUCGGUCAGUCGGCCCGUGGCGGCAUUGCGAAAGCGUGGAGAGUUCCCCCGUAACAGCAGGUCGUCCCACCGGGGAGGCACCGCCGACCACGUGCAGCUGCUUUCCUCACGCUAAAGGGUCUGGGGGGGCACAUGGUGAGAGAGACCCCCAGUAGUCAAGGAAGUCCUCAGAAGAGUCGGACUGGGGAGCGGCAGAGCCUUAUGGGAGAGGGCGAGGGAGUUACUGUGGAGCUCAGCAAGUGCUGGCUUCCGAAAAACACUACACACACACACACACACACACACACACACAAGUAUCUUGUGACUGGCCAAUCCAAGGGUCAUGGGUCACGGGGAAGCGGCUGCAUGCGGCGCCAGGCCAAGGGGCAUUAAUUACAGCGCGAAUAUAGUAUAGGAACUCAGUGGGCACAUAAUUAAUUCUCAGCCACAACAUUUCGGGGGGCAGGAAAUGACCUGUUUGUGAAGAUCAAACAACACACGAGGCAGAAGAAGGGCAAUUACCAGCGAUCAGGAAGAGAGCUCGUCUCAUCUUUUCGUCCUUUGAUCGGCCAAACGGAUCACUUCGGAUCCAUGCAGAGCGGCGGCUCUGUCCACCUACUGUCCAGGCACGGCCCCCCAGGCCCUUCCCCCACCCCCUUCGCCCUCUUCCUCGAAAGCCCUUUGAGCUCCACACUUCUACACAGCAGCGAAUGAUGGAGAGCAACCAGAGCACAGCA
ensembl:lncRNA